rnacentral:rRNA from 1 species
GAUGAACGCUGACAGAAUGCUUAACACAUGCCAGUCAACUUGAAUUUGGGUUUUUAACUUCGGUUUGGGUGGCGGACGGGUGGGUAACGCGUAAAGAACUUGCCUCACAGCUAGGGACAACAUUUGGAAACGAAUGCUAAUACCUAAUAUUAUGAUAAUAGGGCAUCCUAUAAUUAUGAAAGCUAUAAGCGCUGUGAGAGAGCUUUGCGUCCCAUUAGCUAGUUGGAGAGGUAACGGCUCACCAAGGCGAUGAUGGGUAGCCGGCCUGAGAGGGUGAUCGGCCACAAGGGGACUGAGACACGGCCCUUACUCCUACGGGAGGCAGCAGUGGGGAAUAUUGGACAAUGGACCGAGAGUCUGAUCCAGCAAUUCUGUGUGCACGAUGAAGUUUUUCGGAAUGUAAAGUGCUUUCAGUUGGGAAGAAACAAAUGACGGUACCAACAGAAGAAGUGACGGCUAAAUACGUG